AGCUGACUUUAGCCUCCAAGACUCCAGAGUGACGUCUGCUUCCUCAUCCAGAUGGAAUUCACUUCACCAUAAUCAGCCUGAACCUGAGUCCUUUCACCUUUCUGUGCUCAGUCAUCGACGUUAUUUCUCCGGAAAUAACGGAGCUUCUGUUCUGAAGGAUUUCUCCGGAAGUGUUGGCUUGUUGCUGCUUGUACAAGUCUAGAAAUCGAAAGUGUCCUGGAUGCGUCGGUUGAGCUGUGAGGAGUGGCCUCAAGAGUCCUUAUAUCUGAACAAAUAAACUGAUGUUACGAUGUUUCUCCUUCAGAGGACUUGGACAGAGAUGGAGCUUCUUCCUCUCGUGUGUUUCUGUCUCCUGACCUGCUCUGGAACAACGUUUGGUGACGAAGGACCACUUGUCACCACAAGGAUGGUAAAACUAAAUGGGGAAGUCAUUUUACCCUGUUCCUUCAGCACCACUGACAUUACAGCUGAAACUUUUGACUGGAGAAAAGAGGAUAUGAAGGAAGUGUUCAUGUACGCUGCAGGGAGUCAUUAUAAUAACGGACGUCCAGGUCAAGAUCCAUAUUUCAAAGGUCGAGUCUUUCAUUUUGAAGAUCAGCUCCAGUCUGGUAAUGCCUCCAUAGUUAUCAGAAACAUAAAGAAGACAGACAGUGGAAGGUACAGCUGUAUUUUUCCAUUUCCUCAGCCUGGAAGGACAAGAUCCAUCAUUGAGCUCAUUGUUGAUUGUAUCUUAAAAGACAGAACGAAGGAAAAUAAACCAGGUUCAUGUCCAAAACCAUCAGUCACAAACCUUGAUCAAACAGAUGACUGGGCUCUACUGCAGUGUGAAGUUCAAGGUGCUUUUCCAGAACCUAAAGUCCAGUGGUUGGACAGUGAUAACAACAGAGUUCAUGAUGUAGAACAACAGGUCACACAAAGUGAAGGAAAAUUCAACAUUAUCCUCAACGCCACUGUGAAAAAGUCUGAUGUCUAUCGCUGUGUUUCUACACAAGAAGAAAUCUGUCAUCAGAUUAAUCAGAAGAUAAAAGUAACUUUGCAAGGAAAAACAACAGCAGAGCCAGUUACCCAAGAAAUGUGGCUCCUUUCUGAUCGUCCUCCAGUAAAACUCCAAUAAGAAGCAUCAUCAGAUGAAGAUGUCUCUGAGAUGUAGUCCAGAGUCCAUCCCAGCCUGGGCUCAGGGUGGAGAAAACCUCCAGACAGACUGUCAGACAUGUUUUCACAUCUCAGGAUCACAGCAGGAGGAAAAGCACAAGUCACAUGGAAAAGGCUAAAGUAGAGAGGCAGGACAGAGAUUCAAAGCUCCUUCAUACUGAUGAACAACACGUCUCAGAAAGAGGAGGAUGCUACAACAUCAGCCUCCUCACUACUGACACCAAAACCUAAAGCAAGCUGUUAGCUGUGAACCCAAGCAGGAGGAAACUGGACAUUAGAUCCAUGCUGACAUCACUGAGCCUGCUUUUAAUCUGCACUGACUGCUACAGUUUAGAUUUCAGGACCAUCAACACAUGCUGCUGUUCUCUCUGACUGUGUUACAUUAACUUUAUGUCUUCUGUUUCAGGAUCAAACACUGGAUGGAUUGUUGGUGUUGGUGUUGGUGUUCUUGUUCUUGUUAUUGUUAUUGGUAUUCUUGUUUAUUGUUGCUGGAAACAAAGAGCCACAAAAAGACACUAUAGAGCCAAACAUGAAGCACUCAAGUCUGAACUUGACAAACUUAAAGCAGCCAAAACUGAAGAGACUCCACAUCCAUCAUCAGGUAAAAUGACGGCGACAAAUCUCAAGUGAUAGGCACAGGUAGUGUAGUUUAAGAAAAGGAAACUCAUCAUCCACUGAAAAAAAAGGAGGGUCGACAGCUGGACCAAUAAGUCACCUGAUGACUUCUCUGUUUCACUUUAGUCUUUUUUUAUUCAUGUGAGGACCACUGAAACUUAUUGACUCAUCUUUUGUUCUCAUUCAGGACAUUUUUUAUUUAUUUAUUCAUUUUUUUUAAAGUUCAGGUUCACGUUAACUAAAGAAGUUUGUUUCUCUAUUAACACUGAGGUUCUGCUGUUUCUCAUUGUGACUCUUGAUGCUGUUGAUGUAGAUUUAUCUCAUUCAUGCAGGUGGUAUAAUGUGACUUUGUUUUAUUUUAUUUUAACGUGAGUCUCUCAUGUACAGUUAUGAACAGAAACACUAUGCUCUUGUUGACUAUGAUAUUUGAAUAUAUAUAUAUAUAUAUAUAUACAUAUACAUGCAUUUCAUUUAGUGGUUCAGCUCGAGAUUAGUAUUUCCUUUGACUAAGAUGAAUAAUCAAUUCAUGAUUCAGUUGUUCCCUCAGCCUUUCAAUGUUUACAAUCCAAGAGAACAAUAACUUUAAUUAAAAUAUAGAUUGUAAAAAAAAUAGCAGAUGAUUUUAACACAUCAAGUAUUUAAUUUAAUCAAUUCAUUGAUGAAUGACUUCAGCUCUGAUUUUGUUAAGUGAUGAUGCAUUUGUUGUUCAUCAUGUGGUUUCAUGCUGUGCUUUAUUAUUUCUAUCAGGAUGUUUAAAUAAAACAUGAC